CCUUGUAUCCAAGAGAGUUUUGGAGUCAGGCUAGAUUGCUCUGCCCCAACACCAUCCUGAGAACUGACUGUUAAAUUUCAGUGUGAGCAUUUCCACUUUGGGAGCUGGCCAGUGCUACAAAUCAGGAACCAGGAGAAUGUUAAACACAGCAAUAAUGUACAAUGAUCAACUAUGAAUCAGUUGAAUAUUAUCAGCAAUGCAAGGAUCCAGUACAACUCCAAGGAACUCAUGAUGAAAAAGCUUAUCUAUCACCAUAGGAGGAACUGAUGGAGUCUGAAUACAAAAUGAAGAGGGAAUUCUUUGUGCCAACAAAAUCACAGAGCUGUCCUUUUUCUUGUAAUGAAGCUGAGAUAACAGUCAGGGAGUACAUUGGAAAGGCAGAACAUUGUACUGAAGAUCUGUGGCACUUGGAAAAUGUCUACCUAAGAUUCUCUCAGAGGGAAAAUUAAUUGAAAUACAAAAUGGAAAAGCUAAAGAAAACAAGUGAACUACUGUGGGUCCCUUAGGUUCUUCCAUUUUGGCUGAAGCUGUUUCCGCUGAUGAAUAAGAGCUGCCCGUUUGCUCCAUGCUAUGGCUGCUGCUAACUGCUGUGGAUGUCUUUGCUUAAGGAAUGUCUCAAGAAAAACAAACUGUGCUUGUAAGUUGUGAAUUCCAGAAAACAGAUGAGGCGAAUUCUCUCUCCUCUUCCUUCUCUUCCUUUUCCUUUUCCAAAUAGCAGGGUCAAAUUGGAACCAAAGCUUAUUGUACAAACAGAAGCAAAUGAAAGAAAUAUUGGAUUUGUAUGAGCUUCUUAUGGAAUUACUAGUUCUAAAACCAAAUACAUACGCAGAGUGAAUGCUACUGAAUCAGAUAGAAAAUACAACUUGGAGCAGAAGAGAUAGCAACACACAUUUAGAAUACAAUGGUAAUGAGAGACAUGUGGAGGAUACAGUGGUACCAAAUGGGUAACGUAACUCCUGGAAAUUUACAACUAGGAAGACCUUUCUUGAGUGUAAAACCAGCACUACUUUUUGGUGUAAAAGAAUAUUCUCCUUAAACUUGUCUUGUCCAUUAAGGGACUAGCUUUUCUUUUGUAUACACCUGUCCUCACUGUGCCACUCAACUAAAUGAGCUACACAUGUUCUACAUGUGUGGGAUUGUCUCCUACUAGUCCACUCUCUCUGAUGAGAUGGUUUAUGUGAAGUAGCCAGAAGAGAGAAAGAAAUUCCUUCCCACAAGUGUUUCACUCUUAGGAAUUAUGGAAUCAUAAGCUUUCAAACGAGUUCUCUAAUACAGGACUGCUCCAACUCUGGAAUCCAGGUUACUGUUGACAGUCUUCUAGUUAUUUGUAUUCCCCAGAGGCUUGGUUAAUAAGUUUGGUCAGUCAAUCUGUUAUUCCUUUCUUUACCUAAUCAAAGAAGUUCCCGCCUCAUAAAGACAUCACAGAGUAUAGAACAUCUUAUUUACACUUUUUUAAAUGAUAUUUUACAAAUUUCAUGUAAUAAUUUUUCACAUAAGUUUUCUCAAGUCAUAGGCUUCAAACUGUCUCCCUUUGUCCCGUCCCUCCCCUUUCCUGGAGAUGACAAGCAAUUGGAUGUGGAUUUUACAUGUAAUAUCAUGCAAAAUAUAUUUCUAUAUUAUUCAUUUUUGUAAGGUAAUAAUAAUAAAACUAAAAUCCCCAAAUAUACUCUUUUCA
rnacentral:lncRNA from 1 species